rnacentral:rRNA from 1 species
UAAUACCRAAUGUGCCUCAGGGUGAAAGAUUAAUUGCCUGGGGAUGAGCUCGCGUCUGAUUAGCUAGUUGGUGGGGUAAGAGCCUACCAAGGCGUCGAUCAGUAACUGGUCUGAGAGGAUGACCAGUCACACUGGGACUGAGACACGGCCCAGACUCCUACGGGAGGCAGCAGUGGGGAAUUUUCCGCAAUGGGCGAAAGCCUGACGGAGCAAUACCGCGUGAGGGAGGAAGGCU